UACGUUACAAGUAUGCAUCACGACUUACGGGUCAUGAAAAAAUGUUUUUGUCUCAAAAAUUCAAUAUUAAUUUCUCAGACUGACAUUCUUUAAGACAUACUUGAUAUAAUGAUUUAUAUAAAGCAAAGACGUCGCUUUAUCUUCUUAUCUAUGAUCCAGGAUCCUUUCCGCUUCAUGGUUGAAUUGGAAAGCUCUAGUCG
rnacentral:lncRNA from 1 species